GGCCUAACACAUGCAAGUCGAGCGCCCCGCAAGGGGAGCGGCAGACGGGUGAGUAACGCGUGGGAACGUACCCUUUGCUACGGAAUAGCUCCGGGAAACUGGAAUUAAUACCGUAUGUGCCCUUCGGGGGAAAGAUUUAUCGGCAAAGGAUCGGCCCGCGUUGGAUUAGCUAGUUGGUGGGGUAAAGGCCUACCAAGGCGACGAUCCAUAGCUGGUCUGAGAGGAUGAUCAGCCACAUUGGGACUGAGACACGGCCCAAACUCCUACGGGAGGCAGCAGUGGGGAAUAUUGGACAAUGGGCGCAAGCCUGAUCCAGCCAUGCCGCGUGAGUGAUGAAGGCCUUAGGGUUGUAAAGCUCUUUCACCGAUGAAGAUAAUGACGGUAGUCGGAGAAGAAGCCCCGGCUAACUUCGUGCCAGCAGCCGCGGUAAUACGAAGGGGGCUAGCGUUGUUCGGAAUUACUGGGCGUAAAGCGCACGUAGGCGGAUAUUUAAGUCAGGGGUGAAAUCCCGCAGCUCAACUGCGGAACUGCCUUUGAUACUGGGUAUCUUGAGUAUGGAAGAGGUUAGUGGAAUUGCGAGUGUAGAGGUGAAAUU
rnacentral:rRNA from 1 species